GAUGAACGCUGACAGAAUGCUUAACACAUGCAAGUCGACUCGAGUCUUCGGACUUGGGUGGCGCACGGGUGAGUAACGCGUAAAGAACUUGCCUCUUAGACCGGGACAACAUCUGGAAACGGAUGCUAAUACCGGAUAUUAUGGUUUUUUCGCAUGGAGGAAUCAUGAAAGCUGGAUGCGCUAAGAGAGAGCUUUGCGUCCCAUUAGCUAGUUGGUGAGGUAACGGCCCACCAAGGCAAUGAUGGGUAGCCGGCCUGAGAGGGUGAACGGCCACAAGGGGACUGAGACACGGCCCUUACUCCUACGGGAGGCAGCAGUGGGGAAUAUUGGACAAUGGACCGCAAGUCUGAUCCAGCAAUUCUGUGUGCACGAUGACGUUUUUCGGAAUGUAAAGUGCUUUCAGUCGGGAAGAAGUCAGUGACGGUACCGACAGAAGAAGCGACGGCUAAAUACGUGCCAGCAGCCGCGGUAAUACGUGUGUCGCAAGCGUUAUCCGGAUUUAUUGGGCGUAAAGCGCGUCUAGGCGGCAAGGAAAGUCUGAUGUGAAAAUGCGGAGCUCAACUCCGUAUGGCGUUGGAAACUGCCUUACUAGAGUACUGGAGAGGUAGGCGGAACUACAAGUGUAGAGGUGAAAUUCGUAGAUAUUUGUAGGAAUGCCGAUGGGGAAGCCAGCCUACUGGACAGAUACUGACG
rnacentral:rRNA from 1 species